GAUCUCUUUACGUAAGCGUCGCGCAUGGAAACAUCGAGCACGCAAAAGAACAUUUAAUCGAACGAAGCUACACUCGCACUACUCCCACGAUUUGUUAUUGUAUUCGAAACAAGAUUGUAUUUCACAUAAGUGUUAUCACCGUCCUUGUUAAUUUCACCUGUCCUUGUUAAUUGCGAGGAAAACAGCGGUUACUAAUUCAUCUCAAUACACACAUCGGCCGAUGCGAUUGUCCCCAUCUUCAUCGAGAGCGAAGAUAGUCGUUCGACCAAGAGCGCCAAACUGGCAGAAACAGCCGUUUGUGACCCCGGACCAACCCUGUGACCUUAACAGGGUUUUCGGUGACUUUCUCGGCCGGGCCGUGACGCGUUACACGUUUCUCUCCGCGGGAAUCCCAGGGAUUCGGGGUCCGGAACGGGGACCGGGAUCGGGAUCGGGAUCGAGUUUUCUUGAUAAUCAAAAUCCAAAAGCGAGUUUCACCGAACCGUACGCAGGGGUACAAGAACGUAUUGCCUAUCGCUUCCGGGACGCUUCUCCUAGAGAAAACUAGUUUCCUCGUCGCGGGACUUUCGCCCGCUCCUCCCGGAGCUUGCUCCCGUAAUUGCCCUAGUCCUUACGAGCUGGACACUGUCCACCUUUUAGGGUGGGAACUUCGCGAGGAAAUACUGGUCCGUGCUGUUUUCGAACAAAACGCUGCGCAAUGUUUCUGUUCGACAAAUACCUGUUCAGACUCACGACGAAGUAGUUGAUACCUGAUUCGAAAUGCUAUAUCAGCUAUUGCGUUCAACGUUCAACGUACGAGUUAACAUAUGGGUUAACGUCUGAAAUUUAUAGGAUAUUUAAACUAGAGUAUAACGAAACGUGUAUCACGACGA